GUCUAUGGUCAUGCCACCUUAAACAAGCCCGAUCCCAUCUGAUCUCUGAAGCUAAGCAGGGUCAGGUCUGGUUAGUACUUGGAUGAGUGACCGCCUAGGAAGACCAGGUGCUAUAGGCA
ensembl:rRNA 5S_rRNA 5S ribosomal RNA